UAGGGAAUCUUCCACAAUGGACGCAAGUCUGAUGGAGCAACGCCGCGUGAGUGAAGAAGGUUUUCGGACCGUAAAGCUCUGUUGUUGGUGAAGAAGGAUAGAGGUAGUAACUGGCCUUUAUUUGACGGUAAUCAACCAGAAAGUCACGGCUAACUACGUGCCAGCAGCCGCGGUAAUACGUAGGUGGCAAGCGUUGUCCGGAUUUAUUGGGCGUAAAGCGAGCGCAGGCGGAAGAAUAAGUCUGAUGUGAAAGCCCUCGGCUUAACCGAGGAAUUGCAUCGGAAACUGUUUUCUUGAGUGCAGAAGAGGAGAGUAGAACUCCAUGUGUAGCGGUGGAAUGCGUAGAUAUAAAUGGAAGAAUACCAGUGGCGAAGGCGGCUCUCUGGUCUGCAACUGACGCUGAGGCUCGAAAGCAUGGGUAGCGAACAGGAUUAGAUACCCUGGUAGUCCAUGCCGUAAAACGAUGAGUGCUAAGUGUUGG
rnacentral:rRNA from 1 species